ACUCCUACGGGAGGCAGCAGUGGGGAAUAUUGCACAAUGGGGGAAACCCUGAUGCAGCCAUGCCGCGUGUGUGAAGAAGGCCUUCGGGUUGUAAAGCACUUUCAGUAGGGAGGAAGGUAGUGUAGUUAACACCUGCAUAUUGAUCGUAUCCUACAGAAGAAGCACCGGCUAACUCCGUGCCAGCAGCCGCGGUAAUACGGAGGGUGCGAGCGUUAAUCGGAAUUACUGGGCGU
rnacentral:rRNA from 1 species